GUCCACGCUGUAAACGAUGAGUGCUGGACGUUGGUGGGCUUGCCUGCCGGUGUCGCAGCUAACGCGUUAAGCACUCCGCCUGGGGAGUACGGCCGCAAGGUUGAAACUCAAAGGAAUUGACGGGGGCCCCGCACAAGCGGUGGAGCAUGUGGUUUAAUUCGACGCAACGCGCAGAACCUUACCAGCCCUUGACAUGCCGCGCGAUCCACGGAGACGUGGAGUUCCUUUCGGGGACGCGGACACAGGUGCUGCAUGGCUGUCGU
rnacentral:rRNA from 1 species